rnacentral:rRNA from 1 species
AUCCAGGGCUGCAAACAUGCUACAAUGGCCGGUACAAAGGGCUGCUAAACCGCGAGGUGGAAUUCCUGGUGUAGCGGUGAAAUGCGCAGAUAUCAGGAGGAACACCAGCGGCGAAGGCGGCGCUCUGGGCCGGUACUGACACUGAGGAGCGAAAGCGUGGGUAGCAAAACAGGAUUAGAUACCCUGGUAGUCCACGCCGUAAACGUUGGGCACUAGGUGUGGGGUCUAUUCAACGGACUCCGUGCCGUCGCUAACGCAUUAAGUGCCCCGCCUGGGGAGUACGGCCGCAAGGCUAAAACUCAAAAGGAAUUGACGGGGGCCCGCACAAGCAGCGGAGCAUGUUGCUUAAUUCGAGGCAACGCGAAGAACCUUACCUGGGUUUGACAUGUAGAGAAAAGCCACAGAGAUGUGGUGU